rnacentral:rRNA from 1 species
ACCAUGCAAGUCGAGCGCGCCCUUCGGGGUGAGCGGGGGACGGGUUAGUAACGCGUGGGAACGUGCCCUUCUCUAAGGAAUAGCCACUGGAAACGGUGAGUAAUACCUUAUACGCCCUUCGGGGGAAAGAUUUAUCGGAGAAGGAUCGGCCCGCGUUAUAUUAUAUAGUUGGUGGGGUAACGGCCUACCAAGUCUACAAUCUAUAGCUGGUUUUAGAGGAUGAUCACCAACACUGGGACUGAGACACGGCCCACACUCCUACGGGAGGCAGCAGUGGGGAAUCUUGGACAAUGGGGGCAACCCUGAUACCAGCCAUGCCGCGUGAGUGAUGAAGGCCUUAGGGUCGUAAAGCUCUUUCGCCUGUGAUGAUAAUGACAGUAGCAGGUAAAGAAACCCCGGCUAACUCCGUGCCAGCAGCCGCGGUAAUACGGAGGGGGUUAGCGUUGUUCGGAAUUACUGGGCGUAAAGCGCGCGUAGGCGGACCAGAAAGUUGGGGGUGAAAUCCCGGGGCUCAACCCCGGAACUGCCUCCAAAACUCCUGGUCUUGAGUUCGAGAGAGGUGAGUGGAAUUCCGAGUGUAGAGGUGAAAUUCGUAGAUAUUCGGAGGAACACCAGUGGCGAAGGCGGCUCACUGGCUCGAUACUGACGCUGAGGUGCGAAAGUGUGGGGGAGCAAACAGGAUUAGAUACCCUGGUAGUCCACACCGUAAACGAUGAAUGCCAGACGUCGGCUAGCAUGCUAGUCGGUGUCACACCUAACGGAUUAAGCAUUCCGCCUGGGGAGUACGGCCGCAAGGUUAAAACUCAAAGGAAUUGACGGGGGCCCGCACAAGCGGUGGAGCAUGUGGUUUAAUUAGAAGCAACGCGCAGAACCUUACCAACCCUUGACAUCCCAGGACCGGCCCAGAGAUGGGUCUUCCACUUCGGUGGCCUGGUGACAGGUGCUGCAUGGCAGUCGUCAGCUCGUGUCGUGAGAUGUUCGGUUAAGUCCGGCAACGAGCGCAACCCACAUCCUUAGUUGCCAGCAGUUCGGCUGGGCACUCUAAGGAAACUGCCCGUGAUAAGCGGGAGGAAGGUGUGGAUGACGUCAAGUCCUCAUGGCCCUUACGGGUUGGGCUACACACGUGCUACAAUGGCAGUGACAAUGGGUUAAUCCCAAAAAACUGUCUCAGUUCGGAUUGUCGUCUGCAACUCGGCGGCAUGAAGUCGGAAUCGCUAGUAAUCGCGUAACAGCAUGACGCGGUGAAUACGUUCCCGGGCCUUGUACACACCGCCCGUCACCCCAUGGGAGUUGGGUUUACCCGAAGGCCGUGCGCCAACCUUUGGAGGCAGCCGACCA